rnacentral:lncRNA from 1 species
GCACGUUUUCUUGCUCUAACUUGUGAAAGUCAGGAAAGGAAGUGUUUCAGCAGAAAAGGAGAAAUGAUACAAGGGCAGAAGCCAGCCAGAACUGACAGCGGCAAGGACGAUCGUGGGGCUGGGCUGUCUCCUUCAUGAGAUAAAAACCGAAGACGUCAGCAUGACCAAGAAGAAACUCCAGCCAUAGCCUCUUGAAAGAGCGUACCUUAAACCAACGCCUCAGACAGGUGGUAAACCGAGAGCUGUGUGCAGGGAGCUGGGGUGGACGCAAACACAGAGGUGAGUGAGGACGGACGGACGGCAUGGCGGUAACGAGACAGAGGGAAGCUCAGGCACGUCACCCAACGGGCAGCAGAAACGAAUCUCUAGGAGCAGAACUUCCUGUGAAGCCGCCCCAUGGCUCCAGGGCAGGCCAGGGACCUGGGGGCCUCAAGGACACUUACUCACAAUCUGGCCGGCCGGCAGCACCUGCUCCCUGGUGUCAUUGGAGGACGAGGGCGUCGCUGAGGGGAAGAGACGCGCAUGUUGGCCAGUGCUCACGGUAGCAGCUUGGGAAGCCCGUGAAGCCCUCGGCACACACGUCACACCGCUCCCCAGAGAAGUUGGGCCGGCAGUAGCAUCGACCCGUCAGGUCCUCGCAGGUGCCAUCCGUGAAGUCGGACUCGCAGUUGCAGCCUGGGCAGGGGCAGGAGCCGGCCCCAUGGCGGCAGAGACUCACAGGCAAAGAACUGCCAGGGCUGGUAGGUGCGGCCGAAGUCCAUGGACCGCUCCAGCACCCAGAGGUCCGGCCGGGGUGAGUUGGCAAACUUGAUGAGGACGUAGGCCACGUGGAAGACCUGUGGGCCGAGAGGGCGUCAGGGGAGCCAGGGGCGCCUGGAUUCCCACGGUCCCAGGGGCCUUGCUCAUUUUCUGCCCCUCAGGGGCCUCCAUGCCUGCACCUGGGGGUGCACACAUACCCUCCCAACAGUGAAACACUGUGGGGGUGGCUCCUCCAUGGACCCAGGCCACAGGCCCCCUCUGAAAAGGUCUCUGGUCCCUAAAAACAGCCCAUGGCCUCAAUUGGCAAGAGGCUGCACCCAGGAGCAGGGGGGGUCCCGAGGCACACAGGAGGGGGCGGUGCCCAAGCAGCACCCCGCCUUCACACUCAUGCAAGCCAGGGCUCAGCCCCUGCUGCAGCCAAGUGCUCCCACCCGCCAUAGCCUCUGAGGGGAGCCCUAGGCUCCCCCUACCUGGGGGCAAAGGAGGGAAGGUGUCUCCAGGCCCUGUCACAAGCCUGGAGGCUCCAAGAGAGGGUGAGCCCCUCCCCAGCCCCUCUCAAACAAAGGGGAAAGGGCUCUCCCAGGCAGAGGCUCCACAGGGACCUGGCAGGGAGGCAGAGGAAACACAAACCUCUCCCCCGCCUGUGCAAGGAGGCCGGGGUGCCGGAGAGAGAGGCAACUCAUGGAUCCACAGCACAGGUGUGGCCUGCCUGUCCCGGCCCACACCUCCCCUGACAGGCCCACAGGGUCCACGAUGGAGACCUUGGGAGACCUCAGUACUCAGCCCAACUCUUUGUGGGCGGCAGUGGGGACCAGCCCCUCCUCUGCUCACAGGUGGGCCCCCAGGUGGGCCCUAAAAAGGCCAGCAGGCCUCCGAGGGUCACGCCACACCCCAGGGCCACCCACCACACCUCCUCGGGACCCUGACCCGCCAGUGCCCACUCCUCCGGAGGGUUUCUCCCCACAGCAGGUACGCCCGGGAACAGCUGGGUGCUGUUGGCCAGGUAGGCCUGGAAGCCUAGGGCCCCAAGGGGGAGAGUGGGGUCCCCCAGAGCUGCACAAGACCUACAGUCACCCCACUGGACUGAGCCGGACUGAGACUGCUGUGGGGUCCCCCAUGAAAAGACCACAGACCCCUCAUAGCUUCAGCCCUUGGGGGCACCAGCUGCCCAGACUCCAGGGCCCUGGACAGCUGUCCUCGAGGGCCUGGUGGCUGCACAGAUGGUCACAGGAAGGGAAGCCCGCGCUGGAGGACUCCCAUCUGUCUCUGACCUGGUCGCGGCUCCCAGGGCCACACCGGCCGCCCUCGCCAUGACCCGGAGCAAGUGCAGACCCCUGGCUUCAGGACCGCCCUUCCCCCUCCACGCCCCGCUCAGCUCAGCUGCCAGUGCUGACCUUUCCGCUGCUACAUAGUUCUGUGCAGAAAGAAAAAAAAAUUCUUU